GGUCUUUCAAGCCUGGCUUGGUGUUGGAGCGCGCCCUCUCACGAGCGGCGGCUCUCGAAAUCAUCGGCGGUGCCGGUGCGGCCUGGAAGCGCAGCAAAAUGCGAAGCCUACCCACCGAUACCCGCCGGAUCAAACGUCUUCGGACACUUUUUUCACA
rnacentral:misc_RNA from 1 species